AUUGAACGCUGGCGGCAGGCCUAACACAUGCAAGUCGAACGGUAGCACAGAGAGCUUGCUCUCGGGUGACGAGUGGCGGACGGGUGAGUAACGUCUGGGAAAUUGCCCGAUGGAGGGGGAUAACUACUGGAAACGGUAGCUAAUACCGCAUAACGUCGCAAGACCAAAGUGGGGGACCUUCGGGCCUCACACCAUCGGAUGUGCCCAGAUGGGAUUAGCUAGUAGGUGGGGUAAUGGCUCACCUAGGCGACGAUCCCUAGCUGGUCAGAGAGGAUGACCAGCCACACUGGAACUGAGACACGGUCCAGACUCCUACGGGAGGCAGCAGUGGGGAAUAUUGCACAAUGGGCGCAAGCCUGAUGCAGCCAUGCCGCGUGUAUGAAGAAGGCCUUCGGGUUGUAAAGUACUUUCAGCGGGGAGGAAGGCGGUGAAGUUAAUAACUUCACCGAUUGACGUUACCCGCAGAAGAAGCACCGGCUAACUCCGUGCCAGCCGCCGCAGUAA
rnacentral:rRNA from 1 species